GAUGAACGCUGGCGGCGUGCCUAAUACAUGCAAGUCGAGCGAACAGACGAGGAGCUUGCUCCUCUGACGUUAGCGGCGGACGGGUGAGUAACACGUGGAUAACCUACCUAUAAGACUGGGAUAACUUCGGGAAACCGGAGCUAAUACCGGAUAACAUGUUGAACCGCAUGGUUCAACAGUGAAAGACGGUCUUGCUGUCACUUAUAGAUGGAUCCGCGCCGCAUUAGCUAGUUGGUAAGGUAACGGCUUACCAAGGCAACGAUGCGUAGCCGACCUGAGAGGGUGAUCGGCCACACUCGAACUGAGACACGGUCCAGACUCCUACGGGAGGCAGCAGUAGGGAAUCUUCCGCAAUGGGCGAAAGCCUGACGGAGCAACGCCGCGUGAGUGAAGAAGGUCUUCGGAUCGUAAAACUCUGUUAUUAGGGAAGAACAAAUGUGUAAGUAACUAUGCACGUCUUGACGGUACCUAAUCAGAAAGCCACGGCUAACUACGUG
rnacentral:rRNA from 1 species